rnacentral:rRNA from 1 species
GAUGAACGCUAGCGGCAGGCUUAAUACAUGCAAGUCGAGGGGCAGCGGGGAUAGCAAUAUUCGCCGGCGACCGGCAAACGGGUGCGGAACACGUACGCAACCUUCCCAAAACAGGUGAAUAGCCCUGCGAAAGUAGGAUUAAUACACCGUAAGAUAUAGAGGUGGCAUCACAUCUAUAUUAUAGGCAGCAAUGUCCGGUUUUGGAUGGGCGUGCGCCUGAUUAGGUAGUUGGUGCGGGUAACGGCCCACAAGCCUUCGAUCAGUAACUGGUGUGAGAGCACGACCAGUCACACGGGCACUGAGACA